AAAGGGUUGAAAUGAAUUUGCAGAGCAUUUACCCUAUCUGCGAGGGCCAAUUUUUGGUCUUUAAAUCUGAAGUGGACUCCAUUUUCCAUGUAAUCAUAUUUGAUAAAGGCGUCUCCGAUAUAGACUGUCCGCCAAUGAGUGGUGAUGCGAGGAACUGAGCCUCAGCAAUUGUGGAUUUGCCUUGCGAAAGUGGAAGAUGCCGGCGAUUGCCGUGAUGUUUCGGUUAAGCUUUAAGUCUUGGGAGAUGAAGUGCAUUGACCCAAGAGUCCUCGGCUUUGUAAGGCGACAAAAUCUGAUCAAGUUUGUGAAGUUCAUGGCGGUUCCUAUGAACAUUCAUCAUUGCGGAGUUUGGGGAGAGACCAAAGUUUAAACUGCUCAUCACGAGAUUUUCGAGGUAAGCUGAAAGAGCUGAGCUUGUGCAGAGCUCUUGAACCGGCCAGCAAAUUUAAGCCCGAGUAUCCUUUCUUCCGAAGUUGCAGCAAGAUGCUUUGAAAAGGAUCCUCCUACGGUCUUCCUCAGAGCUCAUUGGUUGUUGCAAAAUGUCUACUUGAGCAGAGAGUUACCGGCUCAC